rnacentral:tRNA from 1 species
UUGGCAAAGUGGUUAAGCGUUUGGCUGCUAACCAAAAGGUUGGCAGUUCAAAUCCACCA